AAUGAUGCACUAGUUGUAGUUUUGUUUCCCAGGGUUAGAUUGUUGUUUCUAAGGCCUUUUGGUAUAGAGUCUUUGAGUAGUAAGCUUUUUGUUCUCUAAUUUUGAUAGUGUUUGGAGGUAUGCUUUAGUGUUGUAUUGGGCCUUUCUAAGAGGAUAAUUUUGUAGUCUUUUAUGAUAGGUUAGAGAAUAAAUGGAAGUAUUUUAAAUGAGGGACUAAAUUGAUGGA
rnacentral:lncRNA from 1 species